rnacentral:misc_RNA from 1 species
AGAGAUACAGAAACAAGGCAGAGAAUUCUGAAUGAUCACAAACGGCUAGAGAACUGCAACAUUCCCUAAUUCUCAUAGAAGAUUUGGAGACACUGGACCAGUGAACUACGUCACACUCACAUCAAGCCUACAACUUCUAGACGCUACACAUUUUUCAUUAUAAUGACAUUCAAAAUGCUCACUCCAGCUUCAUCAUGCUUUGCUCCUGAUGCUGCUUGUUUGGUUCAG